rnacentral:rRNA from 1 species
UGGGGAAUCUUCCGCAAUGGACGAAAGUCUGACGGAGCAACGCCGCGUGAGUGAAGAAGGUUUUCGGAUCGUAAAACUCUGUCUUUUGGGGCGAACGUGAGUAUGGUGAACAAUCAUAGUCAGUGACGGUACCAAAGGAGGAAGCCACGGCUAACUACGUGCCAGCAGCCGCGGUAAUACGUAGGUGGCAAGCGUUGUCCGGAAUUAUUGGGCGUAAAGAGCGCGUAGGCGGGAUAGUCAGUCUGUUGUAAAGUGCGGGGCUCAACCCCGUGAUCGCAAUGGAAACAGCUAUUCUUGAGUGCAGGAGAGGAAAGUGGAAUUCCCAGUGUAGCGGUGAAAUGCGUAGAUAUUGGGAGGAACACCAGUGGCGAAGGCGACUUUCUGGACUGUGUCUGACGCUGAGGCGCGAAAGCCAGGGGAGCGAACGGGAUUAGAUACCCCGGUAGUCCUGGCCGUAAACGAUGGGUACUAGGUGUGGGAGGUAUCGACCCCUUCCGUGCCGGAGUUAACGCAAUAAGUACCCCGCCUGGGGAGUACGGUCGCAAGACUGAAACUCAAAGGAAUUGACGGGGUCAUAGCUG